UUUCAUGUUGGGCAGGCAGAGGCAUUCAGAAGAGAACACAGGGAAGCUGCUUUUGGGGAUUGUUGAUUCGGUGGAGUCUGAAAGGCUCCCAAAUCCUAGGAACUUGGAGCGGACCCAGAACUCUAAAAGAAGCCCCAGGAGGCGAGGCGAGGCAAGUUCAGUCUGGUGCACUGCAGUUCACAAUUAUCUACACUGGGAACCAUGCCAAUCUCAUGCUUUCCGCUGCCUUUCAUCAACACUUCCAUGAUGAACACAGGGAAGCCGGAUCCAAGCAAGGUCGCCUUGUCUACCACUAUCGAUUAUGUUACAAAGAGGAAUGGGGCUCGGAACAUGAGAACGGUCCAAAUCCAUAGCUUGCCUAUUUGUUUUCCUCAGAAUUUCCCUUCAGCACUGAGAUUUACACAGAAUGAUAUUAAUGAAAAAAGGCACACCCUUGCUUCAGCUUCAAAAAACCAAGAGGAGAUGAAUAACAAAAUGAAAGAACACAUUUUGCCCAAACUUCAACCCCGACUUUCAAUGACAAUGCCUAUAAAGAAUGAGCAGAACGCCAAGAAGACUAGAAUGAAAGCCCAGUCAUCCAAGGCCUGGUUGGAUGAUUUUCGACAAAAUAUAAAGACCGUUAAAAGUCUCAUGAAUCCAGAGAGCAGCUCCAAGGUGGUGGAGAGUGACAAUGAAGCUGCAGAUUCCAGAAAAGGGGUUAGACAUGAAGAGUUUCAUAUAUUCUCACCUUUUGCUGGAGCAAGUUGUGAAAGGGCAGAAAAAAUCAAGCUGAUGGUCACUGGAAACAGUUAUCCUAAAGCCUUGGUUAAUAUAAUGAACAUGGAGAUGAAACUUACUGCAGAUAAUGACCAAAGACAUACUUUUGCAAGAAACUACUUCUGAAUUUAUUUUUUAAUAGGCCAUUUAAUGUUUUCUUUCUAUUGGAAUUUAGAAAAUACUUUUAGCCAUGUUAUUUUCAAAAUUAUGUUGCUAGAAAUCUUUAUGGGAAGAAGUAUAGGUUAGAUGAGAUACCAGCCUAAAUAAUCAACAUCCUCAUGAGCACUGGGUAUUUUUGCAUUCUUAAUUUCUUAUGUAUGUGACCUUUGACUAUUUGUAACAUGCUGUAAUCAUUAUUCAUUAUUCACAUUGCCAGGGUUACAAUCAAAUAUUGUACAUGCUAUGGAGGCAGAUUAAAGCCAGAAUAAUUUUCAUAAAAACAUAUUUUUAGAAUGUUUGCCAGACAACAGAUGUAUGUUAACUACUAAAUAAAGUUAAAUAAUAACAAUUGAUUUUUUUUUCU
rnacentral:lncRNA from 1 species